AAUUCCUCUCCCCUCCUGCCCUGCCUCUCAGGGUACAGAACAGCUUGCUGUGCCCUGCUCGGACAGAGGCUGCUGGUGACCAGCCAGGCACCCCCCAGGCUGACCCCGGGUCUGGUGGGAGAGGCCCCUUGGCUGCUGCUCUGGACAUUCUAGGGCUCUGCCGCGGUCCUGGAAGAGGCAGGCGUCAGGGGGCGCCAGAGACCACCUAGAGCCUCAGUUUAAACCCACUUGAGCAGGCUCCUGCUCCCAACCGGAUGCCCUCUGACCUGCUCAGCUGGUGAAUCCAGAGGUGACCCCUACCCACAAGUCUUCCAAGGCACAUGAAGGCAGCCUGAGGCCUGUCCCAUAGCUUGCUGAAUGCCUACUCAGAGACACUGAAGCUGGAGACCGGCCACGUACCACACCCUGUGGGCCGCCCUCUGCAGAAACCGCAGGCAUAAAAACUCCCAGCCACAAAGUGCAAGAGAGAAAGCAAGAUUUGAAAGCCACGAUUCCAUGAUUUAGUGGAGCCGAUAUCUAUCACCAAUGAGACCGUGAUGACCAAUUUGCUUCUAACUAAUUUAUGCUACUGUUGAAAAACACAACGGCUACUGGCUUUUCUCAACACGGUACCUGAAAAACCAUGACCUUCAAACCUUCAAGGCUGACUGACUACUCUCCUUUUGGGAGAUCUAAGCACAAUAAACAUAUCUUCGAAGAAUCACGCCCUUGCCCAAAAUUAGCCUCCUGAACUGAGGAGUAAAGGAAAGCACGGCUUAAUCACUCGGCUGGGUUGUCAGUCACCGAAUGAACCAAGUGGAUCCUUUACCUGAGUUCUCACCUUGAUCAUCUAUUUAUUUAAGAAAUGGCUUUGGUCUCCUGAGGACAACUGAAGGGCCCGCGGUCCCAGAGGCACCACAUCAUCACUCUGCCCUACAACCCACAAGUCCCGGCAGGUGGCCCAGGGCUGGUUCCAUCCAAACGUGAAUCUAAGAAUUCCUGACUGCUGGUCCUCAGCACACAGUGUGUCUGGCCAGUUUUUCUGGAGGAAAUAACUUCUCGGAACUUUUUAUUGUCUGUUUACCCCUCUGGAGCCAGAGUCCUUUGCAGUGUGAACUGAGGAAAUGGUGGCAUCCACUGAUUUCCUGCUGGGCCUGUAUCUCAUGGAGGAGUUUCACGGGUAGUGCUACAGAGGGGGAGGGCAAGAGACCAGAGAUCUAGGUCAACCAUCCGGCUUAUCCUGCUUUGUUCAGAGCAGAUCCUUGUUGAAAUGACUUUUUUUUUUAAAUUAAGUUUUCUGAAAGGUGGGAGAUGCAAACUCAUGCCAACAGGGUCCAGGCAGGCAACAGAAACAGAUGAACUGGGUUGGAUGUAAGACAGACAACAGUGUGAUCACAAUGAGAAAUGACACCUGCCACAUGGCCAUUGUGUUGGGGAGGCAGUAAGGCGUGGUGAGGAUGUGGAAAAGUGGAGAGCACACACUCUACUCAAGGAGGCAGCCAAUCGUUGUCCUGUAGGAAAGUGGGUCCAGGACUGCCAGGUUUGACUUUUCAAUGUCAGGUAGAAAUCAAAAGUUUUACAUAAAAUUUGAUGUUCAGAAGCUGGCAAUUAACUAAAAAAUUUUUUAAACCUUGUGAAGAAUGUCAAAACAGGCCCCUCAGGCCAUGAUUUGGGAAAAAAUAUUCUACUACUUAAAAAAAAAAGUUUGCAAACCUCCUUGUACAACCCUCUGAUUUAAGGUGAGAAGACUUGGCUCAGAAAUGUGAGGUGGCUUGUCAUGGUCACAGAGCCAGCCAGAGGCAGAGCUGGGACUCAGAUUUGUCCC
rnacentral:lncRNA from 10 species